rnacentral:rRNA from 1 species
AUUGAACGCUGGCGGCAGGCCUAACACAUGCAAGUCGAGCGGAUGAAGGGAGCUUGCUCCUGGAUUCAGCGGCGGACGGGUGAGUAAUGCCUAGGAAUCUGCCUGGUAGUGGGGGAUAACGUCCGGAAACGGGCGCUAAUACCGCAUACGUCCUGAGGGAGAAAGUGGGGGAUCUUCGGACCUCACGCUAUUAGAUGAGCCUAGGUCGGAUUAGCUAGUUGGUGGGGUAAAGGCCUACCAAGGCGACGAUCCGUAACUGGUCUGAGAGGAUGAUCAGUCACACUGGAACUGAGACACGGUCCAGACUCCUACGGGAGGCAGCAGUGGGGAAUAUUGGACAAUGGGCGAAAGCCUGAUCCAGCCAUGCCGCGUGUGUGAAGAAGGUCUUCGGAUUGUAAAGCACUUUAAGUUGGGAGGAAGGGCAGUGAGUUAAUACCUUGCUGUUUUGACGUUACCAACAGAAUAAGCACCGGCUAACUUCGUG